rnacentral:lncRNA from 1 species
GACAAAUGCUAUACUCAGAAAGGCACUCUGAGAAGCCAUAUGAGAAUUCAUACAGGAGAGAAACCUUACAAAUGCAGUAAAUGUGACAAAUGGUUUGGCCACAGAGUUAGUUUGAGAAUUCAUCAGAGAAUUUGUACAGGAGAGAAGCCAAACAAAUGUGGUUAAUAUGACAAAUGCUUUUCCCAAAACUACAGUGUUUGUGUACAUCAGAGACUUCAUACAGGAGAGAAACUUUACAAAUGUGGUGAAUGUGACAUAUGCUUUGGCCAACAGUCUCAUCUUAGUAUUCAUCAGAGAAUUCAUUUAGGACAAAAACCUUUCAAAUUUCCUUUAUGUGGGAAAUACUUUACCCACUAAGUCUUAAUUCAUCAGAGAAUUCAUACUGGAGAGAAACAAUGUAAGUGAACUGAAUGU